rnacentral:lncRNA from 1 species
GUAACAACAACUGGGUUUUAUAACAUAAAAAACAGGAUAUCAGUGUUAUGUAUUCAGCAGGCAACAGUGUGUGGAACUAUUGAGCAGAUAAAUACUGCAUGAAAGUAUUAUACACUUGCAAAGAUUAAGAACCAUUCUGCCUGCUAAGCAAAAUAUAUUCUGAAGCCUGCUUGUUUUGUAAUGCUGGAUCUGGAUUUCUUUGCAAAGGAGGGGCGGUGGGUAAUCUGUUACUUUAAAAUUAAAAGAGAAGCAUUAAGCAAUAAAAUAAGAUACAGUGAAAUCUAGUUAUUGUAAAUUCCCACUAUACUUAAAGUAUUGUAAAAUAACUUAUUGGCUUUUUUUUUUCUAGCAGGGUGAAUAGAAUUUUUUUGAUUAUAGGUAUAUUUUUUAUUUUUAAAUGGCCAAUAUGGUUAUGGACAGGAUUUGUAUGUUUCAGCCUCUGUUCUUUCAUAAAACUUGAGAUAAAAAUUAUUUUAGCUGUGACCUAAAAUUAAAGUCUGAAAAAUGGCACGUAUUAAGUUAAAAGCAGCAUAUACUAGUUUAGUUUGCUGUAUGAUGCUGAUCUUGUAGGAAAAUCUGAUAAGCUUUCUUUUGUCCUGACUUAGAAAAGUAUGUGUCAGAGUUCUGGAAUAUGUCUAAUUUACUUCAGUGAAUUUAUCUGCUUAAGUAUGUUUAUAACAUAUAAAGCAAAUAAGGAUGUGUAACUAUAGUUAACAGUACAAUUUUGUCCAUAUUAUCUAAACGUUUGCUAAAAGAAAAAAUAAAAGAUGAAUUAAAUC